rnacentral:rRNA from 1 species
GACGAACGCUGGCGGCGUGCUUAACACAUGCAAGUCGAACGGAAAGGCCCUGCUUUUGUGGGGUGCUCGAGUGGCGAAAGGGUGAGUAACACGUGAGUAACCUGCCCUUGACUUUGGGAUAACUUCAGGAAACUGGGGCUAAUACCGGAUAGGAGCUCCUGCUGCAUGGUGGGGGUUGGAAAGUUUCGGCGGUUGGGGAUGGACUCGCGGCUUAUCAGCUUGUUGGUGGGGUAGUGGCUUACCAAGGCUUUGACGGGUAGCCGGCCUGAGAGGGUGACCGGCCACAUUGGGACUGAGAUACGGCACGGACUCCUACGGGAGGCAGCAGUGGGGAAGAUUGCACGAUGGGCGGAAGCCGGAUGCAGGAACGCCGCGUGCGGGAUGACGGCCUUCGGGUUGUAGGCCGCUUUCGCCUGUGACGAAGCGUGAGUGACGGUAAUGGGUAAAGAAGCACCGGCUAACUACGUG